UAAAUUUAUUUCUGCAGAAUCCAGUAUGUUACACCUAAUGGCCUGGAGUUUUGUCAGGAUACCAUGAAAUACUGUAUGUGAAAGCACACUGCAUCUUGAAACUGUAGGAAAUCUUCUAAAUGGGACUUGCAAGAGAUCCUGGCAAUCUACAUUAUGGUAUAUCAGCACCUUGACUUAUCUUAAUGAAGAUGUCUGGAAAACUCAGUUGUUUCAUAGCUAGUGAAACAUACUGACAUCUCAGAAAAUCAGAUCAGCACUCUGGAUGGAGCUCUGAAAUUUGCAAGUGACUAUAUUUUCAAGUGUUUCAUUUUCCUCGGAUCACAGCGCCUUUUUGGUCGUGGCCAGAGGGGAAUAGCAGCACCUCCCUGUUGUGUCCAGCUGAACUAAGGUCACUGGGUCCACUGAUAUUAAGUCUUCACUUAAGCAAGUAUUAUGAUCCUUUUGAAGAUAAAGAAACCACCUACCUUGUCCAUCCAGCCUAGUACCUGCUUGCUGUAUGAUUCCUAAAUAAAUAUGGGU
rnacentral:lncRNA from 1 species